rnacentral:tRNA from 1 species
GGAGGGUAUAGCUCAGUGGUAGAGCUCAUGCUUAGCAUGCAUGAGGUCCUAGGUUCAAUCCCCAGUACCUCCA